GCUUAAAUAGUUUAAUUAGAAUAAUAAUUUGUGGUGUUAUUGGUACAUUUUUGUUUUAAGUC
rnacentral:tRNA from 1 species